rnacentral:rRNA from 1 species
UACGGAGGAUGCAAGCGUUAUCCGGAUUUAUUGGGCGUAAAGCGUCCGCAGGUGGUUUUCCAAGUCUGCUGUUAAAGCGCGAGGCUUAACCUCAUACAGGCAGUGGAAACUGGAUGACUAGAGUAUGGUAGGGGUAGCGGGAAUUCCCAGUGUAGCGGUGAAAUGCGUAGAUAUUGGGAAGAACACCAGCGGCGAAAGCGCGCUACUGGGCCAUUACUGACACUCAUGGACGAAAGCUAGGGGAGCGAAAGGG